CCCUUCCCUUCCCCAAAGCCCAGACUGUCCUGCCUUUCCCUGACUGGGCAGCAAGUCAACAAGAACAAAGGUUUGGGGAGCCGACCAGGGAAAGGCCAGCCCGGGCCUCUCGGGGUCUCAAUCCCUUGGCCUGUGUGUGUGCCAGAGCUUCCCACAGAUUCGGGAAGAAGGUGCCGGAGGCUGGCCGGGCGGCCUUGCGGUUUGAAGCAGUGAGUCACCUUCUGGCUGCAAGUCAAGGAACUCUCACUGCGCCCUUGUUUGGACAAGACGGGGAGGCGCACUCAGAGUCAGAGACUCCGGGAGCAGAGACCGGAGCAGGAAGAAGGGGUCACCGAGACCUCAAGAAGUCAGGGAGACAGACGCCCAAAGGACCGAGACAGCCAGGGACAGAUUAUCCAAUCCCAUUUCUGGAAGACACUCUGACUGUGAAGCAAAAGAACUCUACACCUGGCUCUGGAGGGCUGAUUCUCUGUGAAGGCAGAGGACCACCUGACUGGCCUGGAAGACUGACUGUCCAUACUCUUCUUCCAGGAUCUGGACUUGACAUCCCUGGCUCAAAAAGAUUGACUAUUUAGGGAUCCGAAGGGCCUCUCUAGCCGACCUGCUGUAAUACCAUAUUUCACAAGUGCUCUCUUGACCCAGUUUUGAGAUCCUG